rnacentral:lncRNA from 1 species
AUGUGCAGCUCUCUGUGGCUUUCUCUGCUCUCUCUGUUCUCCUCUCUGUUCUCUGUUCUCCUCUGUUCUCCUCUGUUCUCUGUUCUCCUCUCUGUUCUCCUCUGUUCUCUGUUCUCCUCUCUGUUCUCCUCUGUUCUCCUCUCUGUUCUCUGUUCUCCUCUGUUCUCCUCUGUUCUCUGUUCUCCUCUGUUCUCCUCUCUGUUCUCCUCUCUGCUCUCCUCUCUGUUCUCCUCUGUUCUCCUCUCUGUUCUCCUCUGUUCUCCUCUCUGUUCUCCUCUCUGUUCUCCUCUGUUCUCUGUCCUCCUCUCUGUUCUCCUCUGUUCUCCUCUCUGUUCUCCUCUCUGUUCUCCUCUGUUCUCUGUUCUCCUCUGUUCUCCUCUCUGUUCUCCUCUGUCCUCCUCUCUGUCCUCCUCUCUGUUCUCCUCUCUGUUCUCCUCUGUUCUCUGUUCUCCUCUCUGUUCUCCUCUGUUCUCCUCUCUGUUCUCCUCUGUUCUCUGUCCUCCUCUCUGUCCUCCUCUCUGUCCUCCUCUCUGUUCUCCUCUGUUCUCCUCUGUUCUCCUCUCUGUUCUCCUCUGUUCUCCUCUCUGUUCUCCUCUGUUCUCUGUCCUCCUCUCUGUUCUCCUCUGUUCUCCUCUCUGUUCUCCUCUCUGUUCUCCUCUGUUCUCUGUUCUCCUCUGUUCUCCUCUCUGUUCUCCUCUGUCCUCCUCUCUGUCCUCCUCUCUGUUCUCCUCUCUGUUCUCCUCUGUUCUCUGUUCUCCUCUGUUCUCCUCUCUGUUCUCCUCUGUUCUCCUCUCUGUUCUCCUCUGUUCUCUGUCCUCCUCUCUGUCCUCCUCUCUGUCCUCCUCUCUGUUCUCCUCUGUUCUCUCUGUUCUCUAUGUUCUCCUCUCUGCUCUCCUCUCUGUUCUCCUCUCUGUUCUCCUCUGUUCUCCUCUCUGUUCUCCGUCUUCCUCCUUUUACACAGACCUUCUCCACCAGCCUCUGAAUCCCAGGAUGUGUCCAUGA